CCCGCAGGGCUCCGGGCGGCCGUGACCCUGCUGGAGUGCGGGGGGGACCUCCAGCCCCCCGGGGGGUCCCUGACUCUGCUCUGCCUCGGGUCUGGGUUCAAUUUCGGGAGUUUCAACAUGAUGUGGGCCCGUCAGAGCCCCGGGAAGGCGCUGGAAUUUGUCACAGAGAUAAGCUACGGUGGUGGCAGCACCUACUACGCGCCGUCGGUGCAGGGCCGGUUCACGAUCUCCAGGGACAACGGGCAGAGCUCGGUGACGCUGACCAUGAACACCCUCAAGGACGAGGAUUCCGCCGUUUAUUUCUGUGCCAAGGCUGCUGGUGGUUAUGCUGAUUGGACUGGUGCUUAUGGUGAUGCUUUUGACUUCAUCCCUGUCAAUGCGUCCCCAUCGUUCCCCAAAUGUCCCCAAAUGUCCCAGACCCUUUCCUCACACCCCAAACCUUGA